CCGCCGCCGCCUCCAUUGCGCCGGAAGGCCGGGCGGGCGGUGAGCGCCCUGACCCUCCUCAGCCGCCGUCGCGAACGCGCCGCACAGUAACGUCACGCCGCCGCGCCACGAGGAACCGGAACGCCCCGCCCCGGAGAGACGUGAAUGCGGUUUGCCAGGUGCUCGCGGGUGAUGACGUCUGGGUACUGGUUCUGAUGGAAAAGCGUCUCCAGGGCCUGCAGCUGAUCCUCGGUGAAGAUGGUGCGAUGCCGGCGCGUCCGGCGCUGGAUCUGGUGGAAACUCUGCAGCUUGCUCGGGCUCCCCUGGGGACUCUUGCAGACCCUGACGGCCGAGUGGAAGAGCUGCAUGGGCCAGGGGAACCGGGCGUCUGCAGGGGAGAGGCACAACGGCAGCAUUAGAGGUAACAGUGCCCACUCUUAGGACCUAUGCCGAGAAUGGAUCCUGCUGCCCCUCGCCGGAGCUGGGAUCUGAGAAGACCACCUUGGUGGCAGACCAGACGCUACAACAUCACUCAACGCCCAGGUUGUCCCCUCCACCCGGCACUGGCACCAGCCCAUCCACGAGCCCCACACCGUGAAACAAACCCAAACGCUCACCCAGCCAACUCGGCAAGUCCUGCCGGGAACGGGUGCUCAUGUGAGAACAGCAGCAGCAGUUGCAGCCUACCCCUUCCAGCUCUUCCUCCUCCUCCUCCUCCUCCUCCUGCAGGGAGCUGGCCGGGAUGGCCUCCAGCUCGCACAGCCCCUUGGGUGUGCAGUCCAAGAUGCCCCGCAGGCACAGCGGGACCAGGACCUGGGGGCUCUUCUCUGCCGGGCUGGAGAGAAUGUCCUCGAUGCUGAAUGAACACGGCUUCUUGAGGCCUCUCCUGACCGCAUCGGUGUCCGACGCUGGCUCUGAAGACAUCCUCUGCUGGCA